UACAGAGGUCUCAAGCGUUGUUCGGAUUCAUUGGGCGUAAAGGGUGCGUAGGUGGCGCGAUAAGUCGGGUGUGAAAUCUCGGAGCUUAACUCCGAAAUUGCAUUCGAUACUGCCGUGCUCGAGGACUGGAGAGGAGACUGGAAUUCAUGGUGUAGCUGUGAAAUGCGUAGAGAUCAUGAGGAAGACCAGUGGCGAAGGCGGGUCUCUGGACAGUUCCUGACACUGAGGCACGAAGGCCAGGGGAGCAAACGGG
rnacentral:rRNA from 1 species